CCUACGGGUGGCAGCAGUGGGGGAUAUUGCACAAUGGGGGGAACCCUGAUGCAGCGACGCCGCGUGGGUGAAGAAGCGCCUCGGCGCGUAAAGCCCUGUCAGCAGGGAAGAAAAUGACGGUACCUGAAGAAGAAGCCCCGGCUAACUACGUGCCAGCAGCCGCGGUAAUACGUAGGGGGCAAGCGUUAUCCGGAUUUACUGGGUGUAAAGGGGGCGCAGACGGCGAUGCAAGCCAGGAGUGAAAGCCCGGGGCUAAACCUCGCUCCGCCGUUGAAACUGGCGUUCUUGAGUGGGCGAGAAGUAGGCGGAAUGCGUGGUGUAGCGGUGAAAUGCAUAGAUAUCACGCAGAACUCCGAUUGCGAAGGCAGCAUACCGGCGCCCAACUGACGCUGAAGCACGAAAGCGUGGGUAUCGAACAGGAUUAGAUACCCCAGUAGUC
rnacentral:rRNA from 1 species